rnacentral:tRNA from 1 species
GGAGGGUUGGCCGAGCGGUUUAUGGCGCUGGUCUUGAAAACCAGUUGGGGCGAAAGCUCCUCGCAGGUUCAAAUCCUGCACCCUCCGCCA